rnacentral:rRNA from 1 species
GAUGAACGCUGGCGGCGUGCCUAAUACAUGCAAGUCGAGCGAACAGACGAGGAGCUUGCUCCUUUGACGUUAGCGGCAGACGGGUGAGUAACACGUAGGUAACCUACCUAUAAGACUGGGAUAACUUCGGGAAACCGGAGCUAAUACCGGAUAAUAUUUCGAACCGCAUGGUUCGAUAGUGAAAGAUGGCUUUGCUAUCACUUAUAGAUGGACCUGCGCCGUAUUAGCUAGUUGGUAAGGUAACGGCUUACCAAGGCAACGAUACGUAGCCGACCUGAGAGGGUGAUCGGCCACACUGGAACUGAGACACGGUCCAGACUCCUACGGGAGGCAGCAGUAGGGAAUCUUCCGCAAUGGGCGAAAGCCUGACGGAGCAACGCCGCGUGAGUGAUGAAGGUCUUCGGAUCGUAAAACUCUGUUAUUAGGGAAGAACAAACGUGUAAGUAACUGUGCACGUCUUGACGGUACCUAAUCAGAAAGCCACGGCUAACUACGUG